rnacentral:rRNA from 1 species
CGAACGCUGGCGGCGUGCUUAACACAUGCAAGUCGACCGGUGAAGCGAGUGCUUGCACUCGUGGAUCAGUGGCGAACGGGUGAGUAACACGUGAGUAACCUGCCCAUCACUCUGGGAUAAGCACUGGAAACGGUGUCUAAUACUGGAUACGACCAACCCUUGCAUGGGGUGUUGGUGGAAAGAUUUAUCGGUGAUGGAUGGACUCGCGGCCUAUCAGCUUGUUGGCGGGGUAAUGGCCCACCAAGGCGACGACGGGUAGCCGGCCUGAGAGGGUGACCGGCCACACUGGGACUGAGACACGGCCCAGACUCCUACGGGAGGCAGCAGUGGGGAAUAUUGCACAAUGGGCGAAAGCCUGAUGCAGCGACGCCGCGUGAGGGAUGACGGCCUUCGGGUUGUAAACCUCUUUCAGCAGGGAAGAAGCGAAAGUGACGGUACCUGCAGAAGAAGCACCGGCUAACUACGUG